UAUCAAUUUUAUGGUGAUUCUUUGGUUCAAUUUUGGAUGGCUCAUGGUCUUCUCCAAUCGCAUAAUAAGAAAGAAGAGUUAGAAGAUAUUGGUAUGCGGUACUUGAAGGAAUUACUAUCAAGAUUUUUCUUCCAAGAUUUGAGUUUUGGGAUGUUAGGAAUGGAGACGUUCUCUUUCAAAAUGCACGACCUUAUGCAUGAUCUUGCUCAGCAAGUGGCCAAAGAUGAAUUCCUAGUAGUGAACUCUGAUUGUCAAUUUAUUCCCAAAAGAGUCCGCCAUUUGUCAUUUGGUGCUGCUAAUGCAUCAAGAAAUGACUUUUCAAGCCUUUUAUCUGAUCUAGGUCGUGUGAGAACCAUUUUCUUUUCAACUGAUGAUGAUGAGAAGACAAGCCAAUCAUUUGUUGAAUCAUGCAUCUCAAAGUCGCAGUUCCUAAGAGUGCUAGAUUUAAGUGGCUCUGCUAUUGAGGUUUGUCCAAGAGAGAUGGGUAAUUUGAAGCACACGAGAUAUCUUGAUCUGUCGAAAAAUUAUAAAAUCAAGAAACUUCCAAAAUCCAUUUGCGAGCUACAGAGUUUACAAACACUGAAUCUUGCUGGAUGUUUGGAGCUAGAAGAGUUGCCUAAAGACAUAAGGUACCUUGUCAAUCUCAGAUUGUUAGCGCUAACCACAAAACAGAAGUCUUUGCAAGAGAGUGGAAUAAGGAGCUUGGGUUCUCUUCGUUGUUUGUCAAUUUCUAGUUGCUGGAAUUUAGAACAUUUGUUCGAGGAGAUAGAUCAAUUAAGUGUCCUUCGAACAUUAUCAAUUGAAAGUUGUCCUCGUCUAAUCUCAUUGCCACCUGCUAUCAAAUAUCUCAGCUCAUUAGAGAAUCUGUAUUUGGCUAGCUGUGAAAGCCUUGAUCUUAAUUUGAACAUGGAAAUGGAAGGUGAAGGAAGUCAUCAUGAUCGCAAAAACACAAGGCCUCACCUUCGGAGGGUUUUCAUCAAGGAAAUAACACAGUUAUUAGAACUGCCACAAUGGCUUCUUCAAGGUUCUACUGAUACUUUACAGAACUUGUUAAUUCUUGGUUGUCCCAACUUCAUGGCACUACCAGAGUCACUGAGAAAUUUCGAAGCACUUGAGGGUCUUGUCAUCGGGAAUUGUCCAAAAUUGUCAUCGCUGCCAGAGGAUAUGCAUCACCUCACUACUCUGAAAUCAUUGGCCAUUGCAGGAUGUCCUGCACUGAGUGAACGAUGCAAACCGCCAACAGGUGAAGAUUGGCCCAAGAUUGCACAUAUCCCUGAGAUUUUACUUGAUGGCGAGAUGAUUAAAUCAAGUGAUUAUUAGGUAUGGAUUUUUUUUUUCAAUAAGCAUACCACUCUGUUAUAUUUCCUCUUUUCAUGCAGCUUUCUAAUUUUUAAUUUCUCAUACAGCUAUACCGUUUAUAGUUUAAUGUUUUGUUAUGUUUACCAAACGAAAACUUGACUUUGAACGUUAGUUAGUUCAAUCAAAUUUGUACUAAUUUAUUUUCUUCUAAUAAAUAACUAGUUUGUCAGUACAAAACACAAAAAUAAUAUUUUGGAAACCGCACUGUUCUGGGGGUCAGAUCUGUUUCUAAAUUCAAACAGUUCAGGAUUUUUCAAAAUGGAACUUAUAAUGAGAUUUUUUUUUUUAAUUAUCUAGUUAUCUUCAUAGGGAAUUUCAAUCUUUGUUAAUACUUUAACUUGCGCCGAAACAUCUAACAAUUCUUCCUCUUAUCCUUUUUUUUUCCCAAAUAUUGCAGCUUUCUUGGGAGAGGUUCAACCAAACUGCAGGGACAGUGAAAAUAUUACUCUAACGUUGUUCAGAACAGAGGUUCAACGGUUUUAAUGUUGUGUUUUAAAGUUACAAGUAUUAUAUAUUCGUUACGUGUGGUUAUGUAAUUUGCUGAUAUAUAAGUACAUUGAGUGAGGUAUAUGUGUGUGCCUGUGUGGUCAUUACUGAAUUUCUCAGUAAUAUAAUUUGCAUUGACUGCAGAUUUGUGAAGAACAUUGAUACCAAACAUGUGGUGUCUGUAUUUUGUGCUUUGUGAUUGACGACUUACAUUUGCCCAGGAAGAAAUGAAAACAAAUCGGCUUCUUGAAAUUAACCAUUUAUUCUUUCGAAUGGUAACCUUUUUGUGACAUGAUUCGCAUAUUAAUCAAAAGCAGUUGGCAAACUAAUUAGAUAUUGCAUCGUGAUUCGUGGCCUUGAAGUGAAAUGAGUGAGCAUGUUUGUGGAGGUUUUUGUUUUUUUCCUCCAUAUAAAAUGACUAAUUCGAAAGAAUAUGUAUUGUAAUAGAACCUAGAACUUCUAUGUAUUUUAGGAUGAAAAUUCUGUACAAUAGAAAAUAUUAAAACGAAAAUCAAAGAAGCUUGCAACUUGGAACUGCAAUCUAGCUCGACCUACUAUAUAUAUAUACGUUAUUAAUUAAUUGAUCAGGUAAGAUAGGGAGAGACUCGCGGACUCUUUACAAGGAGCAAAAAUGGUAUGAAACUCUGUUUUGAUUAAAAUUCAAUGACUUUCUUCGUAUUAAUCAAAUUAAUUGAUUAAUUAUUUUGGUAAAAAGAAUUUGCGAAAAGUCAUUUUAUCAAAUGAUUUGGUGAAAUUUCAAGUACUUUCAUCUUGGUUUUUGCAGUUAAUAGGAAAUAGUUUGGUGUUGGGAUGUGGUAUAUGUAUCAAGUUCUUAUUGCUGGUGAACAUUACUGGUUUAGUGUGCGAUCGUUUACUAUCACUGCAUGCAUUAUCAGUUUAUUUUAUUGAACUGUCCCAAAUCAGUAACGAAUCCUCAAUUCCCUCUGUUUUCUUUGGAUCCUAGUAGUGUUUGGCAUGCAUCAACUAGUGUUCAUGCAUGGGUCGGUUCAUCAUAGACAACUUCAGCACACAUACAACAGCCCUCAUUUCUUCUUAUAUUGUCGGUUCGAUAUCAUUUUGAAAAAUCAUAUCAAAACUGCUUUUGGAGUUCUAAUCCAGUGCAGUUACACCUAUAUUUUACUUUUGAUCUGCAACCUUGACUCACUGUCAUUUUGCUGUUAGUAUUUCGAUUAGCAACUUGUACAGUGGUAUUUGAACUGCAUGGUAUGUCAACUUUCACUCUAUGUGUCUUAGAAACUCUGUAUAUCACUAAUUUCCUAGCACAGGUCUUGUUGACAGUCAAAGAUUUGAGGCAUAUUUCUAUAUUGAAGGCUUUUCUGUCGUCAAUUUGAUGAUGAGCGCAUGUAUUAUCCCCAAUAUUUUGAGCAGGAACUUGUAACUAGUAAUAACCAGUACCUAAGAUGUUGCAUUUGAUUGACUUCUCUUUCUCGUUUAGUUUCAGCCGUUGGAGCUGUUUCAGACAUGGUAACUGAUACGUAAUUUCUCUCUUUCCACCCCACAAUGUAUCAUUAGUCAUCAUUCGUUCUGGUUGGCGUGGAUACGCAUACUAAUUUGGAUUAUUGUCUGUGCCUUCGUCUUUUGUCAAUAAUCUUUUGCAUUUCAGGAUUAGUACAGCUUGUAUACUGGUAAUACUCUCUCAACUAUACAUGUAAGACUUUGUUAUGUUUUCUUGACCCGUAAUCUAAUGCUAUAAGAUGACGGCAUAAUUGAGCUAUUUUGCAUCUCCAUGCAGGCCUGAUUUGGUUUUUGUGUCACUACCUGCAUUAGAUAUUGGUAGUCAAUGGCUGCAGAUGUACAGGUGCCGUUUCGUUUCCCUGACAUAAUCUCAUGUAACAUGAAAUUGCUUGUGAAACUGGAAGAUAUUUGAUUCUUUUUUUUUUUUUUCAUUUUUGCUAAAGAAAAGUGUUACUUGCGUUGGGAAAUAUGCCUACCACUCUGGAUCUCCGUUGCAGUACAUUCUUGAGAGGAAAAUCUAGCCAUAAAAUGUAAAAGACAACACAAAUUGGCUUUUCAAAGCCUAUGAUGGGAACCGGAUGUUUAUGGGUUAUAGUUGUGUGGCAUGUGAGGUAAUUGUAGCUUUCCGUGUUAUUAUCCAUAUCAGGAUUUGUAAAUGUUAUCAGUGCUUUUUACCUGAUCCAACUGUUUCAACCCUGCAGCUUCUUUACCUAAUCAUAUUUCUUAUUGCGGAGACGCAGAGUGAAAGUUUGGUGGAUGUAGGUUCUCAUUUUCUUACUAUUAGAUUGUUCUGCAUAUAGAAAGAUUUCCCCUGUUUCUCGCUUUGCAAACAAUCCUUCUUUCAGGUUGUGGUGAGUGCUGUGCGACAGGGCAAUCAAGCAAACGAUCAAUGUCAUAAAGGUAACUUGCACUCCAUAUUAUCGUAAUGUUCGUUUAUUCUGAUACUUCUUCACAAUAAGUAAAUUUCUUGAUGUCUACAAAUUAAGGAGACUUUUGUAUGGGUAAAGUUGACAUUUUACAAUGGCAUUCUGGAUCCUGAAAUCGGUCAGUUUGAGAUUCACAUGCUGUGAUAUGCUCUAAUGUUAAAACUCAAACCUUUUCUGUAUCUUAAAUGGAUUGUCGUGGAUAUGCCUGGGAUGAUCAUUUUCUUCCUCUUCACUUCAUCAUCUUUGUCAGAGUAGUUAUAAUUGAUUGAGGAGUGUGAAAACGCAUUGUGAUGAAUGAAUGCACAAGCUAUGUGAUUAAGACUGCAUUUAUUAGGUUGGUGACGGCAAAUAUCAGGCAGGAUAUUCACAAUAGUGCUACUGAAGCUUUAUAUGGAAUAAGGAGACCAAACCUCUAUAUGAUAAGAGUUGUAUGAAUACCAAAUGAAUUGUAAGAGGAUAUGGUUAAUUUAGAUUGUAAUUUAAGAAAGCAUGAGUUCUAAGAGCACAGAAAUGGGAUCAGUCUUGCUCAAGUGUGAACUCCAUCAGUUAGGAAGCUGUCCAUCAAAUGGAAAUAUUUACGUGAUUCAGAGAAAUUUUGGACUUUUGAUGAAAACAAAAAUCCUGUAUGCAUUUGCUUGCCCCGAAGGAGCUGAAAGUUCUCAAAUUGUUUGUAGACGUCAUAGUUCUCCUGAUGUCAUUUGGCUUGGUAAUCUUUUUUGCUCGAAAAUUUGCCCAUUGUGUGGUCUUGACGGUGGGUGAAAUUGAUUUGUGGUUUCAGAUGAAGACAGCAGCAGAUGUGUGUGUGCUAUAUGACAUCGAGAAAAAGCAAAGGCCUUAAAGAGUUCAUCAACAUUUUCCAUUUCAGAAGAAUCUGUUUGUGGUUCUCCUGCUCAAGUGCCUACUUUUCGGGGUGCAGCAUAUAUGUUGAGACCGGCAUAUGAAAUCACUAAACUUUUACAGUUGAUCCGAGGCUUCUCUAGCAAAGGAUUUGGAAUUAAUUUGGGGAAGGGGUGUUUUUUUGGGUAUAUGAGUGUGUGCAUUCCUUCAAUCACGUAGCUUCGUGCCAUUAACUUAUUGGCAAUUCCACAAUGGUGAUAAUGAUAAUUUUAUGAUUGGGGCACAGUUUUAGGAACUCUUUACUGGUUUUUCUUUCGCAUCUGUGUCUAUGAUUAAGGUUGUUUAAGGUGGUAUGGAUUUCAGUACAUUGAACAAAAAAUUAUUUAUUUUUAUUCAAAUAAAAAUACCUAAAAAUCAAACCUAAGUUAAAAAAAAUAAAGUUUAUGAUUGGGGCACAGUUUUAGGAACUCUUUACUGGUUUUUCUUUCGCAUCUGUGUCUAUGAUUAAGGUUGUUUAAGGUGGUAUGGAUUUCAGUACAUUGAACAAAAAAUUAUUUAUUUUUAUUCAAAUAAAAAUACCUAAAAAUCAAACCUAAGUUAAAAAAAAUAAAGUUUAAAAAUUUCUGAAAUUAAUCAAAUUUUAAAACUUGAGACUUUUAACAGAUUAAUCCAACCUUUGAAUAAAUAAACUAAAUGGGGGUCAGUUUUCUCGUGUCAGCUUGUUCAAUCGACACUAUCGUUUCAACCUCCCACGAAUAAACAAAUCACUAAUGAUGUGUCCAUUUCUUCUACUUUAUAAUAAUUUUUAAUAAAAAGAUUAUUAAAAAGAUUAUUAAAGUCAGUCUGGUUCCAAGAAGAAAGUGAACAUGAGAUGAUGAGAUGCCGUAUCAAAUGGGGCCACGUAGACAGAGGUGCUUCGAGGUGACAUGUCAGCAGAUAGCUCCACCGACGAUCUUCAAAAUAAUUUGAACGGUUGGGAUUUUAUUUUCAACUUACCUGUGUCCAGGCUGUUGUUGAUUGUCGCUAUCCUGAAUUGUCCACUUCGAAUUUUUUUUUUAAUUUCCCCAACACUCUCCUGACCAAAGGAGUUAAUAAGAUUUCGAUAUUUUUUUCUUUAAAUGAUUUGAAAUAUCAAUAUUUUAUAAUUUUUUUUUUGGGUCCUAUUUUGUCCAUAAAAUGUUUAGCGAUCUUUUCGUUAAUUAGUUUCGUGGAUGUCUUAUCAAAUUAUUACAACGGUGAUAACGGUUACACAUAAAAAUUAAGGAAAAAAAAAUGAUUAUAAUUAACGGUGUACGAUCCAUGUUGUCGAUACGCCGUUGGACAACUUUCAUUAGACUGAAGAUUUUCCUUUCCGCCCCGGCGCGGAAAUUAUCUGCGUUAAAAAAAUUUGUCACUCACAUUAAAAAAAUUAUCUGCGUCCCGCUAACACACUCUUUCACCUUCAAUGCACUGAGGAAAGAAUAUAUGCUAUGGAAUAUAUGGUAUGGUGUUUGGCUGGUCUGCUUUUUUCUUUUCAAUUAAUGUAAUAUUCUUAUGCUAUGGAAUUGAUUAUCAUAACUAAAGGAAAGAAUAUAUACUAUGGAAUAUAUGCUAUGGUCUUUGGCUGGUCUACUUUUUUCUUUUCAAUUAAUGUAUUAUUCAUAUGCUAUGGAAUAUGAAUAUUACAUUAAGGGAAAGAAUAUUUUUACACAGCACACUAUAAUACUCUAAUUACCAAUUUUUUAUCUUGUAAUACAAGUUCAUAGCGAUUAAUUUAUCCGUCUUCAGCCAAAAAAAAAGUCCCAUUUCAGCACAUAUACAAGCUAGAGCCCUCAUUUUUCUUUGCUUCAGCCAUUUUACAGCAGAAUCAUCACAGACACUUUGAGCUCUGCCGAAUCAUCAUAGACAAAUUGUGAUUGGUGGGAGCAUUACAAGAAAGGUACGACUACUUCGAACCGAUAGAUUUGUUUAUAUCAUUUAGCUAUCGUUUUAACUUUUAACAAUAAACAAGAGACAAUCAUGUACAUCAUUGGUUACAUAAAUAUUAAAAUGAGAUAAAUUUAUUCCUCUACUUGCCAGAUCCAUACAUAUUAAAAUGAGAUAAAUUUUAAGGUUUAAAAAUUUGCAAUUCAUCAAAAAUCUAGUGCGAUAUUAAGCAGUGAAAUCACUUAGGGUUAGUACAAGAGGUUUAUGAUUCCCUGACUCAUUUAUAUGGGUGGAGAGGGAAUUAGGCAAUGAAGAAUUGAUACAAAUUAAUAAUUAUAUUAUAAAAAGAAAUAAAUUUCAAGAGGGAUCAUAAGUUCAUAGAAGAUUGUAUGCCAGUUAUUUGUAAUGGAAUGGAGUUUUUUUGGAGAGGCUAUUUGGCUUGGAAUAUAUAUUGGAAUGAGAUUAUUUGAACCCACCGCAAUACUCUCUAAAAUCCACUUUUCAAUAAAAAAUUUUAGUUCAAAAUUUUCCUUAAUUAAAUUACUAUUUUAGCCAAAUAUUAUGUUGAUUUAUCUCCCUAAAGUUUUCAUUUUUUUUCACCCUUUUUUCUCUUUUCCUCUCUAUUUCCCCAAUUUUUUUUUUCCAGUCCUAUGUGGUUCUUAUAUUUUAAGGCUUCUAUUGGAGUAAGAUCUAUAUUCAAAUUGCUUAUCCAAAAAAAAAAAUUCUUUUAAAAUUUGCCUUUCCUUUACCCUCGAGUCACUAUUAGAUGUAUAUGCUCCUCAAGAAACUUUAGUAAUUGGAUUUCUAUUAAAUAUUUUAAUUUCAAAAAAUGAGAAGGUCACUAUACAAAUAUCAAAAUAUCACCAACUUAAUUAUACUAGUUAUAAUUGAGGGAAAUAAAAGACUUACUAUUUCUGUUUGAAGUUAUUAUGAUGAACAAAGAAAAAGGGGGGGGGGGGGGGAACAAGUCGCUGCAAUUGCAUCAAUUGAGGACAUGUUAAGAAACGUAUCAUUGAGAUAAGAUUUAAUUGAUAAAAUAAGAUUUACUAGAAAGUAGUGAGAGAAACAACUAACAAAAAUUCAUGAUACUUAUUGAGGGUAUAUUGAGAAUAUUUGUGGCUUUUUUGAGUAAAAAAUAAAGUUUUAAGUUGUGAUAAUAUGUUUAUUACGGAAAUGAGUUUAUUUAAUAUUACAGUGGAUUUAAGUAGCCUUACCCUUCAUAUUAUAAUAAAUUUUUACAUUACUCUAUAAUAGCCCUACUAUAGAGGACAAUUUAAUGAAAAUAUUGUUACUCUUAUACCUAUUAAAAGAAACAAUAUUAUCUUGUACGUACAAGAACGUUCUACUGCCCAAGUAAAAGUUUUAGUAAAACGUAUAAGAACUCUAAGGGUAAAGAGAAUUUCAUCAAGGUACUAUAGUAGUAUCUAAUGCUCUUUGCUAGUGUAAACUAUUUGCGCCACAUGUAGUAUUUCAAUCUUCACAAGUGGCAUUGCAUAUAGUGGCUCUUAUUUCAGUUCCUCAAAGGUACUCUAGAGGUACGUUAGCUUAUAAGCUAGUAUUUGGUCAUCAUGUGCUUCUUUUAAUGAAACAUGUGGUUCAUUUUGUCCAUAUACGAGAGCAUUUUGUGUGGAAUAACCUUGUAAAAUGCUCAUUUAUCAAGGACACAUGUCGUGUUGUCAGAACAUAGUAAAAAUAUGAUAUGCUAACCUAUGUGCAUUUAUGAAAAAUCAAAUGAAAACAAAGAACUAAAAAAAAAUGCAAAGGCUAAUUCAUAAUGUUUGAGUUUGAGAUGAUUAAUAUUUAAUUUUAUGGUUGCAAAGAUAAGAAUAAAAGUAGGUCUAGUGAGAAAUACCCUCAUAUUAUAAUACUAUUUAAAAUAAAUUUUGUUAUAAAAGAUUUUAUUUAAUAAGGUAUGGGGACUGUUCAAAAUAUAUUUUACAUACAAACUCAUAUGCAUGACGUAAUAGUAUGUCUCAUGCUAGGACUAGCAAUGGUCAAAUCAACCUAUUUUGAUAAGAUCCAUCAAAAUUAAUAUUUAAAAAAUUUAUCAUCUCAUUAUACAAUACACAGCUUUGCCAUCACAGCUUUGCCAUCUAGUAGAGAAUGAUUAGUUGGCACACCAUAGUUUACACGAAUAUUUCUAAUAUUUGAAUCGUCUGUUAGAAAAUUUUUAUCCUACCAUGAUCUUGUAAGUAAAAAUAUCAAAUAAAUAGUAAAUAGAAAAUAUACAGAGAAUAAAACCAAUCAUACAACACAAUAAUUUACGUGAAAAAUUCUUAUAUUGAAGAAAAACCACAGUCGCCAAAGAUGAUAAAAGAAAAAUCUACUAUUUAAAGAUCAUUACAAUUACUUUAAUAUUUUCCUCACAUAAAAAACCCUAAUAACAAAUAAUCUCUAAUUUCAGAAGCUGUCUACUUGUAUAGAAUUGAUUGUUGUGUUAUUCAAACAAGUGAAUCUAGCCUUUCGUAUAUAUUGUGAUUAUUUCAUAUUGGAAAAAUAUUUAUUUCCUUAAAUAAUAUUUAUUUCUCCUUUAAUAAGUUCUUUGGCAUUACUUAUUCCUUAAACAUGAACCCCCCCCCCCCCCGGAACAAGAAAAUUACUAAAUAAAAAAAUUCUAGGAAAUAUCCUAAUUUAGGAUUUACAAAUCUUCAUUGAAAAAGGAGAUAUGUUUCUUAAAAAUCUCCACUUUGGUGAGUUUUUCAAUUAAGCGACAAAAUAUAAUCCACCAUACAUCUAUGCAACCAUGUCGUCUCCCCCUUAUUUAGUCUACCAAAACCACACUAACAUAAGACUAAUGAGAAUCACUCCACCAUGAGCAAAAUCUUGUCCUCUAUCCAGCAGUCAUAAUUUUCUACAUCGAGAAUCAUCAUACUCCACAUUAUCCAGAGUACACAUGUUUUGUAACACUCCAAAAAUUACUCAUGAAAACACAAGGAUAAAAUUGGAAUGAAACUUUACAUCAUUUAUUCUUAUUAAUAAAUCUCAAGAUAGACAAUUAUUCAUACUCCAACUGAAUCCUUACAUAAAACAUCUGAAAUAAAGUCUAUAAAGAAAAGUCUCUAGUCCAAAAUAAAAAGUCUAGCCAAAUUCACUCUUGAAAGCAACUCCAAAGAUCCACUAAGAAAAAUUCUCCAUCUAAGCACCCAAGCCACAUUUCUAAUCAAUCUACAAAAUAUUGGAGAUGAGGGGUGAGCCGUCAACUCGGUAAGCAAAUCCAUGCACAAUAUUUGAAAACCUUGUCAUUUUACCUUUAAAUAUUUUAUAACAACAUCUUCAUUUAGCAUAAGGGGUGGAUUCAUAUAAAAGCAUUAAAAACAUUAAAACAUUCAUAAAAACGUUAAAACAUAAACAUUGGUAGCUCAUGCCUCGUAGUCAUCAUCAUUCAUCAUUCAUCAUUUAGGGUGUUAUACCCCGCAUUUUUCCUCAUUUAGGGUACUAUACCCCACAUUGUUCAUAAUAUCCUUGUGCACCAGAUCAUCAUCAUACCAACAAGCUGGCCUUAGCAUUUCAUAACAUCACAACAUUAACAUCAUAUACAUUACUACGGACUAUGAGCCAAAACAUUUUUGAAUCCACCUUACAUCUUUUCAUAAAUAGCAUUUAAAGUCUUCUAAAACAUUUAAGAACUUUUCUUUUACACAUUUAAUUCUUUUAAAAAAUUCUUUAAGAAAACAUUUAAUUUAAAAAAACUAAUUUCUUAAGAAAAAAUCAUUUGAAAAUACAUUUAUAUAAAUUCAUUUAGAAGCGUUUUUAUUUUACAAAAUUCAUUUAAAUAUUUUAGAAAUCAGUUUUGUAAAAAUCUCUAUUUAAACAUAAUUCUUAUAACAUAAUUCGUAUUUAUUAUAAAGGACAUCAUGCAUGAAUCUACUUAUCUCGAUCCAUAGCAAUCAAUUCAAUACCUCAAGAAUAACCAACGAGCUCACCCACGUCCUGUAAUCAUCAUAAAAAUAUUCUUAUGAAUAUCAUCUCUAACCUUAAACAUAAUCCCAGUCAUCCUUAAAUCAUAGGCACUUGUACUAGCUUAAUACUUAUACAUAUUCUAAACAUAUCCUAUACUUAUGAGUAUCUUGUACAUGCUGAUUUUUAAUAACCUAUACACAUGUCGAAAAACCAUGAAAAUUUACAGAGGCACUGUGAACAUGCAUAGCAUUGCAUACAAUAUUUCACAAAAAUCAGCACAAGUCAAAAUCGAGUCAGAAUAUUGGCCUUUCACCAAAGUAACAAAAUUGUCCAGCACUGACCAAAACAGACAUUUUCCAAUUAGAAAAUUCAUAAAAUUUUCUUUAGUACUCGAAAUAAUAUGUUUCUUUUUUCGAAUCACAGAAGAAACAUUCAGAAAGCACUAAUUAAAUUUCAUAAUUUUUGGACUCCUGAAACUAUUUUAAAACGUUUUAUUUCCGAGAACAUCUAACCCGUCCAGAAAAUCUUAGAGUUGAAAACAGAAUUUCAAAAAUUCGUAUCUUUUAUUUUACAUGCCCAAAAAUCACGAUUCCAUUUUUUAAAGACAGAGGAAAGAUUGAAAUUUCAUUAUAAAAUCCUAACAUGGCAUGUAAUAUUCAUAAACUAGCCCAACUGUUAUACGUUUCAGCUUCUGCAAUUCUGGAAAACAGUUUCCAGAUUUGCAGCAGCCACAUGUUACGGUUUUUAAUAAUUCAACCAUAAAGAAUAAAACUACGAAAUUAAACAUGCAAGCAUAGGAGACAUAUAUCUGUUGAUACAAAAAUCGCCAUAAUUUUUAAGGAUGUGUAACCUUAUAGAAAAAUUUCCAGAAUUGAGAACCGCUGCUGAAAAUCGGAAUUUUCCAGCACCAGUAACCCAACUUCGAAAACCCAUAACAAUUUGCAUAAUUAGACGAUUUCAACACAAAACCUAUCAAUGGAAAGCUUAGGAUGUCUAGUUCCAUGAUAUGUAAGCAUAUUCAUGUGAUUCUAAAUAGAGAAAACGCUUUCAAGCAAGGAAUAGAGACUGUUCAUAUCAUCACAACAUUACAAACACGCAUAUAUUACCCAAAUCAUACUACGAGUAAUUAAAGGCAAACAAUUCAAAAAAAUAAAUCAUAUAAGUCUAAGAAAUAUUUAAUACCUUAAGGAAAACACUAAGAAAAGAAGUUAUAAAACUUUCUUUUCCUUCUCCAAAGACUUAUGUUUCUUUCUUUUCUUUCUAGGGUUUGUAACGGUGUAGAAAAUAAAAGACGGCUUCCUCUUAAAUACUUGUCAAUUAAUAAAUACUUUUUUUAAAAUUUAAUAACUUAUGUAAUUUAUUUAAAGCAAUUUGAUAAAUUUUACUCACACACAAACACUCAAUAAUAAUUAUCCUACUCAAUUUUGAUAAGGGUAAAAGUAGAAAAAUAAAUAAAUAAAUAAAUAAAAGUGGGCGUUACAUGUUUGGCAUAUGUCGAUGACAUUUCUAAAAUUACCCACUCUCAUGUUUGGCUUUUUUGAGAGUCCUCAUCAAUCAACAUAAAAAUUUCAUCUCAUACCUUGCAUAAAUACUAAACUAGGGGUUGUGUGCAUAUCUUGUGGACCAAUUAGCAAUAACACAUCCUCUUCACGAAACACCAAUAGAUGUCAUAAUUACUAUCUCUUUCUGUUGAUUUAAAACUACUUUCCAAAUUUGCUAUAUUCCAACAAUCUCUUUUAAGAUGUUUUGAUUACCUACACUCGUCCAAGGGUUUCUACUAGUGGAAUAGGCCUUACAUUGUUCUUUGCUUUACUUGUAUAGACAUACUGAAUCAUUACGUUAUUGACUUGAGCUUCCCAUAAGCAAACAUUGAUUAUUCUGUCAAACUUUUUUGUUUCUAUCCUCAUAGGUUUUGAAAACCUCCUUGUUGCCAUAUUUGUUCUACAUUGCAACCUUAGCUCUAUUAUCACCUACUAAGAAAUAAUUAAUUCCACUUAAGAUUCGUAAGAAAAAAUAUCAAAUAAAUAGUAAAUAUAAAAUAGAUAGAAAAUAAAGCCAAUCAAAUAAUACAAAAUUUACAUGAAAACUUCUAUAUUGGAAAAAAACUAUAAUAGCCAAGGACAAUAAGAGAAAAAAUUAUUAUGUAAAAAUUAUUAUAAUUACUCUAGUAUUUUUUUAACACCUAAAACACCAAAAGCACCUAAUCUCUUAAUAGAACUAUCUUUUCUCUCGCAGUAAAAACUAUAUGCUUACAGACAAUCGAUUGUUAUAUUAUGCAAAUAAGUAAACCUAAUCUCCAUAUAUACAUAUAUAUGUGUGUGUGUGUGUGUGUGUAGGUAUGUAUGUAUAUAUGUAUGUAUGUGUAUGUAUGUGUGUAUAUAUAUAUACACACAUAUAUAGAUACCUACAUACAUACAUACAUAUAUAUAUGUACAUGUAUGUACAUACAUACAUACAUACAUACAUACAUACACACACACACAUACAUGCAUACAUACAUAUAUGGUUUGUAUUCCUCUUUGAAUAAGUUAAGUUCUAAAGAGAAAAUUACUUAUUUCUUAAAUAUGAAUUAUCUUCAAUAAGAAAACUGAAAAGUGUAGAAAAUUCCUAAUUUAGGACUUAAAAAUCUUCUUUGAAGAAAGAGACAUCUCCCAAUAUCCUCAAAUCCUCUUUACAAUGCCACCAAUCUCUUUUGUGACUAGCCCAGUUGAAACUUUUAAUUGAUGGGCUGUAAUUGCCAAUAUCCAAAAUAUCCAAAUAAAACAAAUUUCCAUAGGUAUAUUGGUAGAUUGAAUGACAACUAACAAACACGUGAUUUGAUUAACUUAUUUCCAAAAAAAAAGAAAAAAAAAAGAUACAAUGGAUGAACAUAAGACUCUUUCAACUCAUGGAAUUCAUCAAUACGGCCUUGGCUGAUCCACCUCAUGACUAGUAGAGUUCAAACCCCCGCUAAAUAGUAAAAAAAAAUAUUUGGAUUAUUAAUUACUCUUUCUUAAGUCUAUUUAAACUUAACUUUGAGAAUUAUGAACGUCUACACUUUAAUUAAAACAAUACAAGCCCACCCGUUUGUAUUUAAAAUUUUGUUUGAAUUUAUUCACGAGCAACAAGAAUAGUAUAAAUGGAAAAAAAAAACCAUCAAAUAAUAUCCCAUGACUCUGUUUCUUCAAUUUCAGGAGCAAUGGUGGAAUCAUAUUUUCCGAUUGAAAAACUUUUGGAAAAAUUAGUGAGCUCUACUUGUGAAGAACUUUUAUUGUUCUACGGUGUCAAAAAUGACUUACAAAAAUUAAAGGAGACGUUAACCACUGUCAAAAGUGUGGUUUUGGAUGCUGAGGAAAAGCAAAUCCAUAAUCGCCGGUUAAACGAUUGGCUGGGAAAGCUUAAGGAUGCUUGUUAUGAUGCAGAAGAUGUGUUGGAUGAAUUUGAGGUGGAAAAUCUACGAGGAAAGUCAUGAAGCAAAGAAGCAUCGGAAGAAAGUUUCGUAACUUUUUUGGAAGCUCAAAUCCGAUAGCUUUUCGUUUUAGAAUGGGUCAUCAAAUCAAGAAAAUUCGAGAGAGGUUUGAUGAGAUUGCAAAAUUGAGGGGUGAGUUUAAUCUCAUUGAACGACUUGACGAUCAUCGGCUAGUUGGGCACAAAGAAAGGGAACCCACUCACUCGUUUGUGCUUUCAUCAGAUAUUAUUGGAAGAGAUAAAGAUAGAGAAAAGAUUAUUGAACUAUUGAUGCAAACAAGUGACGGCGAAAGUGAAACUGUGUCUGUGGUUCCUAUUGUGGGACUUGGAGGUUUGGGCAAGACUGCACUUGCAAAAUUGGUGUACAAUGAUCAAAGGGUAGAAGAGCAUUUUGAGUUGAAAAUCUGGAUAUGUGUUUCUGAGGAUUUUGAUGAGAGACAAAUUAUGACAAAGAUUAUCAAGUCGAUAACUGGUCAAAACCAAGGUGACUUGGAUACAGACCAAUUGCAGCGAAUCUUGCGAGAUCGUUUGAAUGGUAAGAGAUACUUGCUUGUUAUGGAUGAUGUAUGGAACGAAGAUCCUGAAGCAUGGCGUAAAUUAAAAAGCUUAUUCUUGGGAGGUGCUAACGGAAGCAAAAUUUUGGUAACCACACGUAGCAGGAAGGUUGCUUCAAUCAUGGGCACGAGGGGAGGUACUACUGGCUACAACUUACAAGGUCUACCAUUCGAGGAUUGCUUGUCUUUGUUUAUGAAAUGUGCAUUUAAAGAAGAGCGAGAUAAACAUCCAAACCUCAUAAAAAUCGGGGAAGAAAUUGUGAAAAAAUGUGGAGGAAUUCCUCUGGCAGUCAGAUCACUAGGAAGUCUACUAUAUGACUCAACGGAUGAACAUUUUUGGGAAUAUGUGAGGGAUAAUGAGAUAUGGCAGUUAGAGCAAAAGGAAAGUGGUAUUUUACCUGCUCUGAGGUUAAGCUACGAUCAAUUGCCGCCUCACCUGAAACGAUGUGUUGCUUAUUGUUCAAUCUUUCCCAAGGAUUAUCAAUUUUAUGGUGAUUCUUUGGUUCAAUUUUGGAUGGCUCAUGGUCUUCUCCAAUCGCAUAAUAAGAAAGAAGAGUUAGAAGAUAUUGGUAUGCGGUACUUGAAGGAAUUACUAUCAAGAUCUUUCUUCCAAGAUUGGACUUUUGGGAUUUCAGGAAUGGAGUCGUUCACUUUCAAAAUGCACGACCUUAUGCAUGAUCUUGCCCUGCUAGUGGCCAAAGAUGAAUUCCUAGUAGUGAACUCUGAUCGUCAAUCUAUUCCCAAAAGUGUCCGUCAUUUGUCAU
rnacentral:lncRNA from 1 species